AACGCACAUUGCGCCUCCUGUUACAGGGAGGCAUGCCUGUCUGAGCGUCGUUUAUUAUCAUAAAUCUCGCGAUUUGUAUUGGGCCUCGUCGGUUUGGACGUCGCCUGAAAGCCAGGAGCCGAGAGCGGAUGCGAUUCCCCGAGAACUGGCCGCGCUGGGUUUGAGCUUAUCUUUUGGACCUCAGAUCAGGUAGGACCACCGCCUGAACUUAA
rnacentral:misc_RNA from 1 species